GCGCCCGUAGUUCAAUUGGAUAGAGCAUCGGACUUCGGAUCCGAGAGUUGGGGGUUCGACUCCCUCCGGGCGUGCCA
rnacentral:tRNA from 1 species